rnacentral:rRNA from 2 species
GGGAUUGCCCUAGUAACGGCGAGUGAAGCGGCAACAGCUCAAAUUUGAAAUCUGGCGCAAGCCCGAGUUGUAAUUUGUAGAGGAUGCUUCUGGGUAGCGACCGAUCUAAGUUCCUUGGAACAGGACGUCAUAGAGGGUGAGAAUCCCGUAUGUGACCGGCCCGCACCCUUUACGUAGCUCCUUCGACGAGUCGAGUUGUUUGGGAAUGCAGCUCUAAAUGGGAGGUAAAUUUCUUCUAAAGCUAAAUACCGGCCAGAGACCGAUAGCGCACAAGUAGAGUGAUCGAAAGAUGAAAAGUACUUUGGAAAGAGAGUUAAAAAGCACGUGAAAUUGUUGAAAGGGAAGCGCCUGCAACCAGACUUCGCGGCAGUGUUCCACCGGUCUUCUGACCGGUUCAUUCUCUGUCGCGAGGCCAUCAUCGUCUGGGCCCGCCGGAUAAGACCUUAGGAAUGUAGCUCACCUUCGGGGGAGUGUUAUAGCCUAGGGUGAUGCGGCGAGGCUCGGGCGAGGUCCGCGCUUCGGCAAGGAUGAUGGCGUAAUGGUUGUCGGCGGCCCGUCUUGAAACACGGACCAAGGAGUCUAACAUCUAUGCGAGUGUUCGGGUGUCAAACCCCUACGCGUAAUGAAAGUGAACGGAGGUGGGAACCGCAAGGUGCACCAUCGACCGAUCCUGAUGUCCUCGGAUGGAUUUGAGUAAGAGCAUAGCUGUUGGGACCCGAAAGAUGGUGAACUAUGCCUGAAUAGGGUGAAGCCAGAGGAAACUCUGGUGGAGGCUCGCAGCGGUUCUGACGUGCAAAUCGAUCGUCAAAUUUGGGUAUAGGGGCG